rnacentral:rRNA from 1 species
CCAAUAGCGUAUAUUAAAGUUGUUGCAGUUAAAAAGCUCGUAGUUGAACUUCGGGGUCUACCCAUUGGUCAGGCUUAAUUGUCUGCACUGGUGAGAUGGAUCUCUACCUUCUGAGGAACUUUCAUGCCAUUUAUUUGGUGUGAUGGGAAAUCAGGACUGUUACUUUGAAAAAAUUAGAGUGUUUAAAGCAGACUAUCGUCUGAAUACAUUAGCAUGGAAUAAUGAAAUAGGACGGACUGAUUCUAUUUCGUUGGUUUCUAGGAUCACCGUAAUGAUUAAUAGGGAUAGUUGGGGGCAUUAGUAUUCAAUUGUCAGAGGUGAGAUUCUUGGAUUUAUUGAAGACUAACUACUGCGAAAGCAUUUGCCAAGGAUGUUUUCAUUAAUCAAGAACGAAAGUUAGGGGAUCGAAGACGAUCAGAUACCGUCGUAGUCUUAACCAUAAACUAUGCCGACUAGGGAUCGGACGAAGUUAAUUUUAUAAUGACGCGUUCGGCACCUUACG